CUUUGAUCCUGGCUCAGGACGAACGCUGGCGGCGUGCCUAAUACAUGCAAGUCGAGCGAGCUUGCCUAGAUGAUUUUAGUGCUUGCACUAAAUGAAACUAGAUACAAGCGAGCGGCGGACGGGUGAGUAACACGUGGGUAACCUGCCCAAGAGACUGGGAUAACACCUGGAAACAGAUGCUAAUACCGGAUAACAACACUAGACGCAUGUCUAGAGUUUGAAAGAUGGUUCUGCUGUCACUCUUGGAUGGACCUGCGGUGCAUUAGCUAGUUGGUAAGGUAACGGCUUACCAAGGCAAUGAUGCAUAGCCGAGUUGAGAGACUGAUCGGCCACAUUGGGACUGAGACACGGCCCAAACUCCUACGGGAGGCAGCAGUAGGGAAUCUUCCACAACGGACGAAAGUCUGAUGGAGCAACGCCGCGUGAGUGAAGAAGGGUUUCGGCUCGUAAAGCUCUGUUGGUAGUGAAGAAAGAUAGAGGUAGUAACUGGCCUUUAUUUGACGGUAAUUACUUAGAAAGUCACGGCUAACUACGUGCCAGCAGCCGCGGUAAUACGUAGGUGGCAAGCGUUGUCCGGAUUUAUUGGGCGUAAAGCGAGUGCAGGCGGUUCAAUAAGUCUGAUGUGAAAGCCUUCGGCUCAACCGGAGAAUUGCAUCAGAAACUGUUGAACUUGAGUGCAGAAGAGGAGAGUGGAACUCCAUGUGUAGCGGUGGAAUGCGUAGAUAUAUGGAAGAACACCAGUGGCGAAGGCGGCUCUCUGGUCUGCAACAGACGCUGAGGCUCGAAAGCGUGGGUAGCGAACAGGAUUAGAUACCCUGGUAGUCCAUGCCGUAAACGAUGAGUGCUAAGUGUUGGGAGGUUUCCGCCUCUCAGUGCUGCAGCUAACGCAUUAAGCACUCCGCCUGGGGAGUACGACCGCAAGGUUGCAACUCAAAGGAAUUGACGGA
rnacentral:rRNA from 1 species